rfam:Bombyx mori DNA, contig: Bm_scaf111_contig37320, strain: p50T/Dazao, build 2, whole genome shotgun sequence.
UUAACUCGAUUUUGUAUAGAGUUGGAACGUUUGCCUACGUUUAUCACUAGGGGCGAUGUUUCAACUGCAUACAAAUUUCACUUA